GUCGAACGGAUCCUUCGGGAUUAGUGGCGGACGGGUGAGUAACACGUGGGAACGUGCCCUUUGGUUCGGAACAACUCAGGGAAACUUGAGCUAAUACCGGAUGUGCCCUUCGGGGGAAAGAUUUAUCGCCAUUGGAGCGGCCCGCGUCUGAUUAGCUAGUUGGUGGGGUAAAGGCCCACCAAGGCGACGAUCAGUAGCUGGUCUGAGAGGAUGAUCAGCCACAUUGGGACUGAGACACGGCCCAAACUCCUACGGGAGGCAGCAGUGGGGAAUCUUGCGCAAUGGGCGAAAGCCUGACGCAGCCAUGCCGCGUGAAUGAUGAAGGUCUUAGGAUUGUAAAAUUCUUUCACCGGGGACGAUAAUGACGGUACCCGGAGAAGAAGCCCCGGCUAACUUCGUGCCAGCAGCCGCGGUAAUACGAAGGGGGCUAGCGUUGCUCGGAAUUACUGGGCGUAAAGGGAGCGUAGGCGGACUGUUUAGUCAGAGGUGAAAGCCCAGGGCUCAACCUUGGAAUUGCCUUUGAUACUGGCAGUCUUGAGUACGGAAGAGGUAUGUGGAACUCCGAGUGUAGAGGUGAAAUUCGUAGAUAUUCGGAAGAACACCAGUGGCGAAGGCGACAUACUGGUCCGUUACUGACGCUGAGGCUCGAAAGCGUGGGGAGCAAACAGGAUUAGAUACCCUGGUAGUCCACGCCGUAAACGAUGAGUGCUAGUUGUCGGCAUGCAUGCAUGUCGGUGACGCAGCUAACGCAUUAAGCACUCCGCCUGGGGAGUACGGUCGCAAGAUUAAAACUCAAAGGAAUU
rnacentral:rRNA from 1 species